CCCACCAAAACCGCCCACGGAAAAAGCAGCUGCGCGGAUUGAGUGGUGCGAAAGGGAAGCGACAGCAGAUUGGAUUCAAGUGAGACAGGCAGAGGGACUUCCGUGUGGGGAAAGAUCCGGUGUGCACCGGGUCCAGCCCAGUCACAGCCGGGGGGAGACAGUUUCUGAGUGAGCCCAGGAGAUGGAGGGCAAAAGAAACUUGGGAUCGUGGCCCCAAUACACAGACCCCGACUGACAGGUAUUCAACACGUGGCCGAAGGAGCCUGGCCCCAGCGCACAGCCCCCACCCCGCCGGGGGCCUCACCAGCCACUUGUCUCGGGCAUAGAGAACGGUGUUGAGCAUUGACUCGUAGAAAAGGC